rnacentral:rRNA from 1 species
UAAUGUAUGGGGAUCUGCCCGAUAGAGGGGGAUAACUACUGGAAACGGUGGCUAAUACCGCAUAAUGUCUACGGACCAAAGCAGGGGCUCUUCGGACCUUGCACUAUCGGAUGAACCCAUAUGGGAUUAGCUAGUAGGUGGGUAAAGGCUCACCUAGGCGACGAUCUCUAGCUGGUCUGAGAAGAUGAUCAGCCACACUGGGACUGAGACACGGCCCAG